rnacentral:rRNA from 1 species
CNNGGAGGGUCAUNCGUUAUCGGAAUNACUGGGCGUAANGCGUUCGNAGGCGGUUUGUUANGUUAGAUGUGAAAGCCCCGGGCUUAACCUGGGAACUGCAUUUAAAACUGGCAAACUCGAGUUUAGGAGAGGGAAGUGGAAUUUCAGGUGUAGCAGUGAAAUGCGUAGANAUCUGAAGGAACACCAGUGGCGAAGGCGACUUCCUGGACUAAAACUGACGCUGAGGAACGAAAGCGUGGGUAGCAAACGGGAUUAGAUACCCCGGUAGUCCACGCCGUAAACGAUGUCAACUAGCCGUUGGGCCUAUAUACANGUUNAGUGGUGGAGCUAACGUAUUAAGUUGACCGCCUGGGGAGUACGGCCGCAAGGUUAAAACUCAAAUGAAUUGACGGGGGCCCGCACAAGCGGUGGAGCAUGUGGUUUAAUUCGAUGCAACGCGAAGAACCUUACCUACCCUUGACAUCCAGAGAAUCUGUUAGAGAUAGUAGAGUGCCUUCGGGAACUCUNAUACAGGUGCUGCAUGGCUGUCGUCAGCUCGUGUCGUGANAUGUNGGGUUAAGUCCCGUANCGAGCGCAACCCUUAUCCUUAGUUGCCAGCACAUAAUGGUGGGAACUCUACGANACUGCCGGUGAUANCCGGAGGAAGGUGGGGACGACNUCAANUCAUCNUGNCCCUNAUGGUUAGGGCUACNCACNUGCUACAU